CAUGCAAGUCGAACGGCAGCAUGAUCUAGCUUGCUAGAUUGAUGGCGAGUGGCGAACGGGUGAGUAAUACAUCGGAACGUGCCCUGUAGUGGGGGAUAACUAGUCGAAAGAUUAGCUAAUACCGCAUACGACCUGAGGGUGAAAGUGGGGGACCGCAAGGCCUCAUGCUAUAGGAGCGGCCGAUGUCUGAUUAGCUAGUUGGUGAGGUAAAGGCUCACCAAGGCGACGAUCAGUAGCUGGUCUGAGAGGACGAUCAGCCACACUGGGACUGAGACACGGCCCAGACUCCUACGGGAGGCAGCAGUGGGGAAUUUCGGACAAUGGGGGCAACCCUGAUCCAGCAAUGCCGCGUGUGUGAAGAAGGCCUUCGGGUUGUAAAGCACUUUUGUCCGGAAAGAAAUCGCACUUACUAAUAUUAGGUGUGGAUGACGGUACCGGAAGAAUAAGGACCGGCUAACUACGUGCCAGCAGCCGCGGUAAUACGUAGGGUCCAAGCGUUAAUCGGAGUUACUGGGCGUAAAGCGUGCGCAGGCGGUUGUGCAAGACCGAUGUGAAAUCCCCGGGCUUAACCUGGGAAUUGCAUUGGUGACUGCACGGCUAGAGUGUGUCAGAGGGGGGUAGAAUUCCACGUGUAGCAGUGAAAUGCGUAGAGAUGUGGAGGAAUACCGAUGGCGAAGGCAGCCCCCUGGGAUAACACUGACGCUCAUGCACGAAAGCGUGGGGAGCAAACAGGAUUAGAUACCCUGGUAGUCCACGCCCUAAACGAUGUCAACUAGUUGUUGGGGAUUCAUUUCCUUAGUAACGUAGCUAACGCGUGAAGUUGACCGCCUGGGGAGUAC
rnacentral:rRNA from 1 species